rnacentral:rRNA from 1 species
UGGGUAACCUGCCCAUCAGAAGGGGAUAACACUUGGAAACAGGUGCUAAUACCGUAUAACAAUCGAAACCGCAUGGUUUCGUUUUGAAAGGCGCUUUACGGUGCCGCUGAUGGAUGGACCCGCGGUGCAUUAGCUAGUUGGUGAGGUAACGGCUCACCAAGGCCACGAUGCAUAGCCGACCUGAGAGGGUGAUCGGCCACAUUGGGACUGAGACACGGCCCAAACUCCUACGGGAGGCAGCAGUAGGGAAUCUUCGGCAAUGGACGAAAGUCUGACCGAGCAACGCCGCGUGAGUGAAGAAGGUUUUCGGAUCGUAAAACUCUGUUGUUAGAGAAGAACAAGGGUGAGAGUAACUGUUCACCCCUUGACGGUAUCUAACCAGAAAGCCACGGCUAACUACGUGCC